rnacentral:tRNA from 1 species
GCCUAACUGGCUCAGCUGGAAGAGCAUGUGACUCUUGAUCUUGGGGUUGUGAGUUCAAGCCCCUCUUUGGGUG